rnacentral:rRNA from 1 species
GAUGAACGCUGGCGGCGUGCCUAAUACAUGCAAGUCGAGCGAACAGACGAGGAGCUUGCUCCUCUGACGUUAGCGGCGGACGGGUGAGUACCACGUGGAUAACCUACCUAUAAGACUGGGAUAACUUCGGGAAACCGGAGCUAAUACCGGAUAAUAUAUUGAACCGCAUGGUUCAAUAGUGAAAGACGGUUUUGCUGUCACUUAUAGAUGGUUCCGCGCCGCAUUAGCUAGUUGGUAAGGUAACGGCUUACCAAGGCAACGAUGCGUAGCCGACCUGAGAGAGUGAUCGGCCACACUGGAACUGAGACACGGUCCAGACUCCUACGGGAGGCAGCAGUAGGGAAUCUUCCGCAAUGGGCGAAAGCCUGACGGAGCAACGCCGCGUGAGUGAUGAAGGUCUUCGGAUCGUAAAACUCUGUUAUUAGGGAAGAACAAAUGUGUAAGUAACUAUGCACGUCUUGACGGUACCUGAUCAGAAAGCCACGGCUAACUACGUG